rnacentral:pre_miRNA from 1 species
GUGAAGUGUUUGUACAGUUAAGUGAAUAUCUAGCUAGGUGUUUCACUUAACUGUACAAAGACCUCACUGGACAUUCAAUUAACUGUACAAACACCUCGCUAGAUAUUCACUUAACUGUACAAACACCUC